rnacentral:rRNA from 1 species
AGACGUAGGGGGCGAGCGUUGUCCGGAAUUACUGGGCGUAAAGAGCACGUAGGCGGGACCUUAAGUCAGGUGUGAAAGACCGGGGCCUAACCCCGGGGUUGCACUUGAAACUGGGGUUCUUGAGGGCAGGAGAGGAAAGCAGAAUUCCUGGUGUAGCGGUGAAAUGCGUAGAAAUCAGGAGGAAUACCAGUGGCGAAGGCGGCUUUCUGGACUGACCCUGACGCUGAGGUGCGAAAGCGUGGAUAGCAAACAGGAUUAGAUACCCUGGUAGUCCACGCUGUAAACGAUGGAUACUAGGUGUGGGAGGUAUCGACCCCUUCCGUGCCGGAGCUAACGCAAUAAGUAUCCCGCCUGGGGAGUACGGUCGCAAGGCUGAA